UACAGAGGGGGCAAGCGUUGUUCGGAAUUACUGGGCGUAAAGGGCGCGUAGGCGGCCUGUUAAGUCGAACGUGAAAUCCCUGGGCUCAACCCAGGAACUGCGUCCGAUACUGGCAGGCUUGAAUCCGGGAGAGGGAUGUGGAAUUCCAGGUGUAGCGGUGAAAUGCGUAGAUAUCUGGAGGAACACCGGUGGCGAAGGCGGCUCUCUGGUCCAUGUCUGACGCUGAGGUACGAAAGCUAGGGGAGCAAACGGG
rnacentral:rRNA from 1 species